rfam:Candidatus Falkowbacteria bacterium CG1_02_37_21 cg1_0.2_scaffold_5631_c, whole genome shotgun sequence.
UAGGGUAAGCGGGCGAUCGCUCUUCUUUUUUAAAGAAGAGAGGAAAGUCCGGACUUCAAGCAAAACGAUAGUGGGUAACGCCCACCGGGUUUGCGAUAAUAAUCGUAAAUUUAGGGAUAGUGCCACAGAGACAAUACUAAUUCUGGAAUUUGACAGGAUUAAAGGUGAAAAGUAAUCGGGUGUCUUUAGAGGCUACCGAUUUCGGCCUCCGGUGACGGAGAGACCGUGGUAAACCCUAUCGGAAGCAAGAGUAAACUGGUUUUUUCUUUUUGACUAAACCAAGAAAAGUGGCUCGCUCGAGCCCAUUAGAGAUAUUGGGCCUAGAUAAAUGAUCGCUAGAACAGAAUCCGGCUUACGGCUGUCCUGAUAAC